GGUCUCGUAGCUUAGCUGGUAGAGCGUGCGCGUACAAAGCGUAGGCGGUGUUCAUGCGUGGGUUCGAAUCCCACCGAAGCUA
rnacentral:tRNA from 1 species